rnacentral:rRNA from 1 species
GGGGGUGCUUAUACCGGAGGGGCCACACCCGUUCCCAUUCCGAAUACGGUAGUUAAGUCCUCCAGGGCCGAUGAUACUGCAUCCGCAAGGUUGUGGGAGAGUAGGUCGGUGCCCCCU